CUCUGUGAUGUCAUAUUGCAGCGCCCGCUCCAGGCUACUUGAAGGGAGCCGCCCGUUCUCCACCUAUUGCCCUACGGCGGGGGUCAUCUCUUUUUCUGAUUUUCGCGGGAAGGCCCAGGACGACAAACUGAGGAAAUGCCUUGCAAGGACAUGGGGAGACGGCAGCUAGAGUCCUGACCAGAAACCAAAUCUGCUGGAAACUGGAUUGUGAACUUCUAGCCUCAGGAACUGUGUGACACAUUCUCAUAUGUUCCCACAGAAAGAGGGACAUGAUCAUCCUUACAGACUUUUACAACAUGCACAGUCUUCUCUACCAGCAGAUCUGCUGCACCAGAUGUGGGAACUGUCACCUUCUUCAUCAUACUGUACCUGCAUGGAGAUCAUACUGGAGUUUCUCCCAUUUCACUGUCCCUGACAGACUAAUCUCUCGUCUUGCCACUAAUAGCUUCUUCCUUAAUUCUACACUCUUUAUGUUAUCGGCAAGACUUCUGGUCAACAGUAGACUAUUAAUAGGUUAUGGGGUAUCAUUUAAGGGGUCCUAAUGGACCACCUUCCUCCUGAAUCAGGACUCUAGCAGGUUUGCCUUUAGUUUUACUUAGAACAUCUGGCUACACCUUACUAUUGCUACAGUACCUACCUACAGAAAUUUAGAAAACCUAACCUCUACCGUGCCCUGUUUAUUGCUAACAUGGAAAAAUCACAAAAGUAGCCUGGUGAUAAACCUUUACAUUAACAUAAUGUGCCCAGUUUACCCAAUUUUCCACUCACUAGUCUCCAACAAAUACCUUCUGACCUUGAUCUUCAAGUGGCUGGUUUUAGGCCAAUCUUUUGACAGUCCCCAUUUGGCUGUGCAUAUUUCCAAUUUUUUGGCAUGUUUCUUCAUCAUCUUCUUCAAAGCCUAGCUAUAUCUCUUGCAACGUAAGGUACUUUGUGAUACUAUCAUUCUGCAUUCCUUCUAUACCACUUUAGGUUACUUUUCUUCUAAACUUCUAAAACACAGUUGACUGUUAAACAACAUGGGAGAUUAGGGGUGCCAACACCCCCUUCCCUGUGAUUGAAAAUACACGUUAACUUUUGACUUACCCAAAACCUAACUAUUAAUAGUCUACUGUUGACCAGAAGCCUUGCCAAUAACAUAAAGACAUUAACACAUAUUUUGUCUGUUACAUGUGUUAUAUACUGUAUUCUUAUUUAAAAAAAAAAAAAAGCUAGAGAAAAAUGUGUUAUUUAAAAAAUCAUAAAUUAGGGGCGCCUGGGUGGCUCAGUUGGUUGGGUGACCGACGUCGGUUCAGGUCAUGAUCUCACAGUUUGUGAGUUCGAGCCUCGCGUCGGGCUAUGUGCUGACGGCUCAGAGCCUGGAGCCUAUUUCAGAUUCUGUGUCUCCCCCUCUCUCUACCCCUCCCCUGCUCAUGCUCUGUGUCUGUCUCUCAAUAAUAAAUAAAUGUUAAAAAAUUUUUUUUAAAAAUCAUAAAUUACAUUUACAAAACUGUAUUGGAAAAAAAAUUGUGUGUAAGUGGACCUGUGCCUUUUAAACCUGUGUUGCUCAAGGGUCAACUGUAGUCCCUAUGUUUAUUAUUUGCUUGAAUUUUGUAGAGCCUUGAAUUAUAGCAAAAACAUCUCACACAAUCAAAAGCUUCAUUUCUAAAUAUUACAUGAAGAUCUGUCUAAUCUUUGCUUAUCAAAUCUUUGGUGUAGAGAAACACUUAACUUUGUUUCCCACUAAUUUCAAUCUCUUUUACUGUGUGUCAGGACUGUAGUUCAUCAGCUUGCGUCACAAUAGCACCCUUGGGGGGCUCUGCAUAAAGACAUAUGCGGGCCCUGAACCCUAUUCUAAUAAAACCCAACUCUCUGAG